rnacentral:lncRNA from 1 species
GAGCAAAAUUGUGCGCAGACGUUGCCAAACGUUCAUGGAGGGGCAAAAUCAUUCAGACUUGAGAGCCUCUGCAACAGGGGUGUGAAAGAAGAGUCAUCAUUCCUUCAAUCUAAAAGGAUUACAUCAAUUCAGUAUUGAACAACAGUUUCAUAAUGCAGUUCCAGAAAAUGGAGUGACUGCCAAUUAAAAAUGUGGGAAGAGAAAGUCUCCAUCUCCCUGAAGGAACAUACAGAGUCCUUUUAAGAUAAGUACAUUUAAAGAAAAUCGUUAUGCACAACACUAACUUCAUUGUAGGUUUUUGGCUCUCUUUCAUAUGACUAUGUCUUUGCAGAUGCCUUUAGUACCAGUGGGGAGUCUAUACUGGAAAUGCAUUCUUCGCCACUUGGCAGAGUAUUCACAGUAAAUGAAUAUCAGAGCUAGGAUUUUGUUGUUAGUUUUUUAUCUGUGGCUGGCUAAAAAGACAGACUUUUACCUACAGGUUGGAUUAUACUAAACAAAAAGAAGGAUAAGCAGAUUUUCUUUUAAGGCAAGACCAAAGGAAGGAAGGAAGACCAAAUCAAAUUUUCAUUUUGAAACAAUGAACAAUAGCAGACAAGUUGGUUAGCAGGGACACUACGUUUAAAUAUUUGUGUGUGUUUGCAUGUGGGGGGGUCUGUGUGUCUCAAAAUAGGAGCAGAAGGGCAGACUGAACACGUGUUCUUUCCCACCCCAAUUACUCUGAUAUGAUCAAAUAAAUAAAUACAUUCGUAACGCACUAGAAAACAAGAAAGGGUGGUGUCAACAUCAAAGAUGUUGAGAUAUUUAUAAAAGAUAUAGAGCAGAUAGGAUUGAAUUCUUCAUAAAAAAAAAGACCAGAAAAAAACACAUAGGAGAGAGAGAGUGCAGAGAUGAGAGUGCUUAUGGGAACUUCAGGCAGCCUUAGGAGGUCAAGGAGCAAUUGUCACAGUGAUUAACUGGGGCAGUGCAUUUAGAGGGACUAGGCUGAUCAGCCAGCCCCCCUACCUCCUGACUAAGCUGAGCAAAAGAGAGCAGGAAUUGCCCUCAGGCUAAACAGAUGAGCAUGGGCUCUGAGACCAAAGAGAUGGGACAAUUCAUUGUCACAAGUAGCUAGUGAUACCCUUGAGACCAGCUGAAACCUCCUCCUAGCAGAAUGCCCUGUCCUGUCCCCACGAUCACUGCAGAUAAACUCCUGUAAUCCGAAUCAAUUUCUACUAAAAUGUGAACAAGUUAUUCAAAUAUGUAUGCCAACAAAACUAAGAUUCCAAGAUAAAGAAAAAUGUGGGAUAUAAGAAAGCAUGAUAAGAAAAAAAUAUAUAUAUAGUUAAGUUUAAAUCUUUUUUCUUUAAUUUCAGCUUUUAUUUUAGAUAUGAGGACGGGAGCUACAUGUGUAAGAUGUGUACACAUAAAUGUGUACAUUAUAUGUGUACACAUAAAUGUGUACAUUAUAUGUGUACACAUAAAUGUGUACAUUAUAUGUGUACACAUAAAUGCUGAUGAACUCUAUAGUCAAAAACUAAUUAUAGUUGGAGGCAUAUUUUAAGAAUUUAAAAGUAAAACUUCUGGUUAAACUUAAUGGAUUAAGUCUACAUAUUUACUUUAUUUUAUUUUAGAGUGCUACUAAAAACUUAAAAGUAAAUUAAACAGGCCAGGCGUGGUGGCUCAUGCCUGUAAUCCCAGCACUUUAGGAGGCCAAGUCGGGCGGAUCAGGAGGUCAGGAGAUCAAGACCAUCCUGGCUAACACGGUGAAACCCCGUCUCUACUAAAAAUACAAAAAAUUAGCCGGGCAUGGUGGUGGGUGCCUGUAGUCCCAGCUACCCGAGAGACUGAGGCAGGAGCAUGGCGUGAACCCGGAAGGUGGAGCUUGCAGCGAGCUGGGAUUGCGCCACUGCACUCCAGCCUGGGCUACAGAGCAAGAUUCUGUCUCAAAAAAAAAAAAAAAAAAAAAAGGAAAUUAAACACGUACACAGGUAUGCACACACAUACAAAGAGACAUUUUAAACCAAUAAAAGCUAAAAGAAUGGGAAAGGAAAUGACAGCAAAUGAAGUGUGGUAAAAAGAAAAGAAAAGAAAAAAGAAAUGAAAGAAUAAAGAAAGCAGCUGUGUAAGUGGUAACUGAUUUGCUAAAUCUGAAAAGGCUAAAUUUUAUGCCUGAAGAGAGGCAUGCCAACAGGAAGCAAGACAAUUUGUGCAAAAGAAACCCAGAAUGACUUAGGAAUUGGAGGCUCUGAGUAUCUCUGAAGGUGAGGGUAAAGGGUAGAACUGAAGAAUGAACUCUUAGAAGGAAGUUUGACUACUGUAAUCCCAGCACUUUGGGAGGCUGAAGUGGGUGGAUCACUUGAACUCAGGAGUUCGAGACCAGCGUGGGCAACAUGGCGAACCCCCGUCUCUACCAAAAAUACAAAAAUUAGCCAGGCGUGGUGGCAUGCGCUUGAGGUCCCAGCUACUUGGGGGGCUGAGGUAGGAGGAUCACUUGAGCCAGGGAGGCAGAAGUUGCAGUGAGCCAAGAUCUCACCACUGACUGUACUCCAGCCUGGGCAACAGAGCCAGAUCCUGUCUCAAAAAAAAAAAAAAAAAGAAGAAGAAGAAGGAAGUCUGACUAAAUAAAAAACAAUCAGACCCCCAAGUGUCCUCCCUUAUUCCAAUAUCUAGGUGAUUACCUCUAACUAAGCUGAGAAGACAGAAAAGUAAUGAUUCUGGAGAAAUUAAAUCUGAGAAGCUCUGAGCUCCAGGAACAGGAAGCACAGCUAAUAGAUUAAAUGAAAUCCUAUGGAAAGAACUCCCGCUAGCCGGGCAUGGUGGCUCAGGCCUGUAAUCUCAACACUUUGGGAGGCUGAGACGGGAAGAUGUCUUGAGCCCAGGAGUUAGAGAUGAGUCUGGGCAACAUAGUGAGACCCCAUCUCUACUAAAAAUUAAAAUUAAAAAAAAAAAAACGGCCAAGUAUGAUGGUGUGUAUCUGUAGUCUCAGCUACUUGGGAGGCUGAGGUGGCAGUAUUGCUUGAGCCCAAAAGGUUGAGGCUGCAGUGAGCCAUGUUCAUACCACUGCAUUCCAGCCUAGGCAACAGAUCCAUGGACACAUAAAAAAAAAAAUGGCCUCCCAGAACCCUCCAAAUUUGACGGUGGGAUUAUUAUUCCUAUUUCACCCAAGACAGGAGACUAGAGAAGUCCUCUCUGAGGAAACCAUCCUGUCUAAGAGACAGAACUACUGUUGAGUUUGAAUUCAGUCUGUACACACAGUCUUCUUGAAUGAUUUGUUUAUGACCAGUGCGUUCUGAGAGUCCUGGUACCUCUCUGAAUGAAUGAUACCUAUGCCAUAUCAGCCUUGGGGGCCCCCAAUUAAUGAGUUAGUUACUAGAAAACUCAGCAGUCAAUAAGACUCAGCCUCAUACACAGAGCAUUUGAUCAGCUAUUUACAGUAUCAUUCUUAUUGUGAAGAGUCAACCAAAGAUUACCAGGUAUUAAAGUACGCCACCAAGAUGAAAAGCAAAGACAUAAAUAAAUAAAUAAAUAAAUAAAUAAUAUAACUCGGAGGGAAAAGAGAUAAUUCAAAGGGCAGAAUAAAACUCUUAAAAAGUUACACUUUCAGGGAAUGCUUACAUACUAUUGGUGGGAAUGUAAAUGAGUACAACCUUCAUGAAAAACAUUAUAGCAAUUUCUCAAAUAAGUAAAAUUAGUACUUUCAUUCAAUCCAGCAAUUUCACUAUUUGGUAUCUACCCAAAGGGAAAACAUCAUUAUAUAAAAAACAUACCUACACUCAUAUGUUUAUCAUAGCACUAUUCACAACAGCAAAAAUAUGGAAUCAACCUAAGUGUCCACCAAUGGAGACUGAAUGAAGUUAUAUAUAUACACACAUUUUAUAUAAAUAUAAAAAAUACAUUUUUAUAUAAGUAUAUAAAGUAUGUAUUUAUAUAUGUUUUAUAUAUAUAUAUAUAUAUAUAUGGCAUGGAAUACUACUCAGCCAUAAAAAAGAAUAAAAUUAUGUCUUUUGCAGCAACGUGGAUGGAACUGAAGGCCAUUAUCCUCAGUGAAUAACUCAGAAAGUUAAAUACUGCAUGUUCUCACUUAUAAGUGGGAGCUAAACAAUGGGUACAUGUGAACAUACAGAGGGAAAUAAUAGACAUUGGAGACUUCAAAAAGUGGGAGGGUAGGAGGGGGUGAGGGUUGCAAAACUACAUAUUGGGUACAAUGUUCACUCUUUGGGUGACGGGUACACUGAAAGCCCAGACUUCACCACUUCACAUACAAUAUAUGCAUGUGAGAAACUUGUACUCCCUAAAUAUAAAUAAAUAAAUAAAUAAAUAUUAUAACCUCAGAGAAAUAUAAAAAGAUAUUAUAUCCACAAAACAAAUCAAACAAGAAUAAGAUGCUAUUUUUUAAAGAGACCAUGAGAAAUAUAUGAAAGGAUUCUUUCUGAUUGACCAGAAUUUUUUAAGUAGGUAGAAUUAGAAACAUAAAGUUGUAGAAAUUGCCCAGAAAUUAGAUCGAAAUAACAGAGAUGGAAAAUACAACAAAUGGGGGGAAAAAACACAAUUAUAGGAUUAUACACAGGAGAUCAGAGAUCUGAAUUAUUGUUUCAGAAAAAAUAAAUUGAGAGGAAAAAUAUCAAUAAUACAAGAAAAGGUACCACAUAAAUGAAAGAUUAUACACAUUAAAACCUUCAGCAUGACAGCAAAUAUCUCAGAGUGACUUAAUGCCAUACACUGAAGCAUGGAGUUUGCUAGUAAAGAAUUACAAAUACUUACUGACCAAAGAUAGUCAUGAGCUCAACUGCUUUAUGGUAAAAUAAUUAGCAAUUGAGUCUUCCUGCAAUUGAGGAUGUAAUCAGUCAUGAGACCACAUCAUGCCAAUUUUCAUGACCAGUUGAGUUCAGAAACUUUGUUUCUUUGUGGUUCAUAGAAGUAUUACUCCUAGAUAAGAAGACUACUGUCUUUCGCUUUGAGACGGGAGUCUCUUUUAGAACUCCAAACAUCAAAUGUUCAAGUCUGAAAGCUCAUAACUGUCCAAAAGGAGUUACCCACUAAGUGACUUGAAUUACGCCUAGAAUUCAUUUCUCUAUCUGUUCAAUUUUCAUCCCCCAUGAGAAUCUUCAAUAAUGCUAGAGAAAUAUCUUCAACAACAGCAGCGUGAUGACUUGCAAACAUUUACUGAGUAGUUCCCAUGGAGGCAUGAAAAUACACUGGAAAGCAGGCUCAUCAGAUUACAGGGAGAGAUGAGCAAAGCAAUUUAUUUAUUUAAACUUUUUAUAUGAAAAAUUUCAAAUAUAUUUUGAAAUUUCAAAAUUCAAAAAAGAAAAAAGAAUAUAAUAAACUCCAUGUACUCUGCUUCAAUAAUUGUCAACUCACAGUCAAACUUGUUUUAUUUACACCCCCAUCUAAUUCCAUUCCCCCCCACACCACUGGAUUAUUUUGAAGCAAAACCAAGCCAUCACAUCAUUUCAUCUUAUGUAUAUCUUCAUAUGUAUAUGUAUAUAUGAAGAUAUACAUGAAUUUAUACAUGAAGAUGAAAUGAAUAUAUAUAUAGGAAUGAAUAUAUAUGAAGAUGAAUAUAUUUGAUAUAUACAUAUAUAAUCAGAAAUAAGAACUUUUCCUUAAAUCUAAGCACAAUUCAUUAUCAUAAUUAGAGGUGAUUAACAAUAAUAUAUAAUAUUACUAACUAUUCAAUCACAUGUGCAUGUGUGUGUGUAUGUUUUGGAAACACUAUAGGUUAAAACAUAGUUGAUUGUUUUAAUUCUUGUAGUUAUUAUUAUUUUAUUGAGGCUCACAUCAUCUCAUCUUUGCCUAGAAAAAGGCUUCCCUAGCUGGCUCCAAAGUGUUUUAGACAUAGCCCCAAAAGUCACUGCUAGCUCUCUUGCCCUUCAGUAUGAUAAAUUAUUCCAGGUUCAUGUUACACAAUUCCUGCCCCAGAUCUGUGAUCAGUUCUCGCCCAAAGAUCCCAGGUUCCUUUUAGUGCUCACAGUCUGAGCACUAGAUUUUGAACCUAGUAAAUGAACCCAGAGAUACUCAUUUUACCUACCUUGUCAUUAUUGCUAAGUCUUUUCAGUCAAUAGAGCCAGGGAAUUUAUAUUUUUACAUUAAAAUACAUCACAAUUUCAAUUAAUAAUUACAAUAUAAUUUAAAGACUAGAAGGUUUCUUUUUGGCUCUGUUUUUGUUUUCUGAGACAAGUUCUGGCCAUCACCUAGGCUAGAGUGCAGUGGCCCAAUUACAGCUCACUGCAACCUUGAAAUCCUGGGCUCAAGCGAUCUUUCUGCCUUGGCCUUCUGAGUAGCUGGAACUACAGGCAUGCACUACCAUGCCCAGCCAUUUAAAAAAAAAAUCUCUUUUGUAGAAAUGGGGUCUUGCUGUGUUGCCUAGGCUAGUCCCAAACUCCUGGGCUCAAGCAAUCCUCCCACCUUGGCCUCCCAAAGUGUUGGGAUUAUAGGUGUGAGCCACCACAGCUGGCCAAGACUACAAGGUUUUUACUUAAACGUUUUUUCUCUUAAAUCUAAAUUACCUUUCUUCCAUACCAAAAAUCCUAGUUCCUGAUACCAACAUAAUUUCACUUGCUUUAUCCCAUAAUGCACACAACAGUCUCAAGAAGAACGAGAGAGAGAGACAGAGAGAGAGAAAGAGAGAGAGAGAAAAGAGAAAGAGAGGGAGGGAGGGAAGAAAGGAAGGAAAGAAGGAAAGCAGGAAGGCAGGCAGGCAGAUGUAAACAGUAACAACACUAUCAUCAAUAAUAAUUUUAAAAAACAAUGUAAAAUUGUUUCACAAUUCUUUUUCUUAGGAGAUAUCUACAUACUGUAUCAUUUGAAAUCAUUCCUCUCUGUGAGUAUGCCACUAAUUUGAGACUUAGGUUCAUUCAUGUCAUUUCGCUUUCAAAUUUCAGAGAUUGCUUUGUUUCAUGAUUAUUUUUUAUAGUCGUGUUAAACAUUUAUAUGCUUUUGAAUUCAAAACAAAAACAAAAUAGAUUCAGACAUAUCUAGCUGUGAAUCCUGUCCCCCACCACCUGGUUUCCACCCUCCUCCAUAAAUAAUCGUUUCCUGCAAUUGCUUUUAGCAUAAGCAAAUUUGUAUUCAGAUUCCUAGUUAAAUAGUAGCAUGGUGGACACAUUUUUUUUCACCAUGACUUUUUCUUACUUAGCAGUAAGCCCUAGGGGUUAUUCCAUAAACUUACUGAUUUUUUUUUUUAAAAGUGUGUUACUUACUAGCCCAGGUGAAAAAUUUUGUCUAUAAAAUGGGACCAUUAGUAGGCAGCUGCUGGGAAAAAGAAGAUUUAAUCCAAGAGUAUUAUUUUUAAAAAUAUGCAGAUUGGGGCUUUAUAGUAAACCUUCAUAAAAUGACUCACCAAAUUCACAGCAUCGAGCUGGGAAAAAUUAGAGUAGGUGGCUUUGCUUCUUACAGGCAUACACAGUGUACAAUUUUACCAUGCAAAAUGCUUUUGCUACUACAAUUUUCCUUUGCUUUGCCUUUUUGAAAAGUAAUGUUCCUUCCUAUUUUAGUAGUACCAUUUGCAUUCCUAUUAUUCACACUGAACUGUGAUUUCCAUUUUUAUCUUCCGUUUUUUACUUGUUUUCAUUCCAGCAUUUCUCCUCUUGGUCUUUGCCUUUCCUUUAUCUUGCCCUUAAAUGGAGGCCUCGUGUGCUAUGGGAACAGUGCCAUGAAUUUUCUAACCAUCAUGCCAGGCCUCAUCCCAAUUUAAUGAUAUAAGUUCCCUUGAACCAUUGCCAACAAAGCUAGGACAUCCCACACACAUUUGCUAUGGAAACACCUUCAUGACUAAUGGUCUCUCAAAUUAAGGCAUCUUAAAGUUAAAGCUAGAAAUGGUAUUCAUUUUUUCAAAACAUAUUCUGCAGUCAAGGAAAAAUAUAUAGCAGUUCUCUAAAAGUUAUGAGUUGCUGUAUUAUUAUAAUACCCAGUUUCUCUGAGAGGUAGACUCCUACAAACCCAAUCUCAAGGUGUGUGCAAAAUGAACGCAAGAAUUAGUUGAUACUCCUCUGUGUCUUUAACUGAGUAGCCUCUGUUCUCCUCUGCUGUGUGUUUAUGAGCUCAGGUCUUUGGAUUGUGCCAAGUUCUUUACCUUAGAACAGAAGCAGAAACAUUCAAGACCCUGCAUGAUUUGGAUGCUGCCAAAUCAGCAGAUCACAUCCCACCACUUUUCCCUCUCACACUGUCAUAGCAAAUUACACAGACUUCUUCAGGCCCACCAGGCCACUUUGUGCCUUUGUCCAAGCUAUUGCCUCUGUCUAAGAAGACUGUGCUCAUUUCCCAGGGGAAUCUCUGUUUUAUUCUUAAACACCUUGUUCAGGCAUCACCUUCUCUAGCACACCUUCUUCUCCUCCCCAGUGAGAGCCGGCCCUUUUCUUUCUUCCAUCUUUUCUUAUGUAUCCAUGGAUCUGUGACUAUCUAGAGGGCAAAAUAGAUGUUCAUUUGUUCCCCACUAUGUGGCACCAUGCCUGAUUAGUACUGGUUCUGCUCAACCAUAAAUGAUGGUUAAUUAAAUAACGGAAUGAGUCAAUGGGCAUGUGAUGUGCUCUCUUAGGUGUAAAAGGGAGACUACACUACCACCUACAUACAUGUUGCAUUGAAAUAUCUGACUUAGAUUUCCUCUGUUUCACAUCUCUGUUUGGAAGGAAUGGGGUUUUAACACACAUCUCUGAUUGCUGACCAUGAUGAUUACCAUAAAAAUGGUGAGCAUUAUGGCCAGAUGGAAAUGAGAUAUGUUGAUUAACUUGAAUGAAGCAAAGUGGGCUUUGCCACUCUCUGUUCUUUUAACAACCCAGUCUUUAAAAUCCAUGCAGACGAACAUCCCAGGAAUCCUUUUCAUCUUAUAUUGGGCUUUCCUAUAUGAUGCCUCAAUGCUCCUUACAUUGGCUCAGCCUUGGCAUAUCCUUCUAAUUGUCACCUUCCAUUCCCUACCCACUGCUCCUAGUUGAAGACUGGCCUGCCCUGGAGUCAUGUCUACACAUCCUAAUGAAUGCGUGGCAAAAGUUGCUAAUUUGAUUGAUUAAUUUAUCCAGCCCAAUGAGGCAAGACAAGAGUAGUGACUCCCUGGUUAAUUAUAGUAUGAAUAACCUGUGUAAAAUUAUAGAUGGACAGGCCUUAUUCUUAUGUGUUUCUUUUCAACCGGUCUGGGUUUGACAAAGGAUCUCACUGUUCUUAUUAAAGCAGUUUCAUUAUUCCAAUGCUAAGGCAAGUUUUGGAACUGCCCAGUGAGAAGCAGAGUCACAGGACAUACCUUAUGCUCUCUAACAAAUGCCAUCCAAAAAACAGACACCACUGUUGUCCAUCUCCUGGAUGACAAAGCAGACACUUUGCAACACAGCAGAGGAGGCAGAAGGGAAACAGCUUCCUUUGCUGGUGACCAGCAGAAGCCACCCCUAUUCCACUUAUGCCUUUAUAAUCUCCAAAUGCAAUGGAAUAAUUUUGCAUCAGGUUCCUGACCACAGAAAUGAAACUUUUUUUCUUAUUACAUUUGUGUGUUUGUGAUAGAUGUGAUUACUAAACACAGGUUUAUUCGGAAGUUAACAUAUCUGUUGCACAAAAAGCCACUUCUCCAGCUCUUACUGAAGGGGUCAUUGAGAAGUCAGAAAUUCCAGUUCCUAAAAAGCUGGAUGACUUUACUAAUGCUGUCUUUUCUCAGUAUCAGGCUUUAUUACACCUUUUCCCAGAAGCCACUCUUCGUUUCCUAACUCUAUCACAGCAGGGUUCAACAGAGUAGCUUUCUCCUAUGCUAAACAAAUGAUUUUUUGAGAUUUCUUUUCCACUCACUAAGCUUCCAGUACUAUCUAAGUUUGCCAAAUAUCUCAAAGGAAUUAAAGAUCUAAUUUAAGAGAAGAUGGCAAGUGCCUUCUCAAAGAAACCGGGAGUACCCAUCCUUAAUGGUAAGAGUGACAAAGGAGGAAGCAGCAGUGGCCCAUUUCCUCAGCCUCACUGAGCAGCAUCUAUGAAAAAUGAGCUCAGCUGUUAACAGCCCGGGAGGGACUGCUAUCUACCACAUCACAGUCAGUUGAGAAGAACAGGAUGUUCUGAGUACAGCAUGAACCUCAAAGCUAGAGUCAAAAACCAUAUUUCCCAGGCAAGUGUUUACCUUUGUCUUCAAUCUUCAAGAGAGAACGUUUCUGUUCUAUGAAGAGUUAAGAAAACCCUGCCUGAGAAAGGAGCAGUGCAGAACUGAUACACCUCUUUAUUUUCACCUUAUUAAUGAAAAGAAAGCUCACUCUGGGUUGAUAACAACAUACCAAUAUAGGAAGAGUGCCAAAGUAACCCUGGCACUCUUCCUAUAUUCUUUUUUUUUAUUAUUGUAUUUUAAGUUCUGGGAUACCUGUGCAGAAUGUGCAGGUUUGUUACAUAGGUAUACAAGUGCCGUGGUGGUUUGUUGCACCCAUCAACCUGCCAUCUACAUUAGGUAUUUCUCCUAAUGCUAUCCCUCCCCUGGAACCCCCACCCAAUGUCAGGCCCCAGUGUGUGAUGUUCCCCUCCCUGUGUCCAUGUGUUCUCAUUGUUCAACUCCCAAUUAUGAGUGAGAACAUGCAGUGUUUGGUUUUCUGUUCCUGUAUUAGUUGGCUGAGAAUGAUGGUUUCCAGCUUCAUCCAUGUCCCUGCAAAGGACAUGAACUCAUCCUUUUUGUGGCUACAUAGUAUUCCAUGGUGUAUAUGUGCCACAUUUUCUUUAUCCAGUCUAUC